AGCAGCCGCGGUAAUUCCAGCUCCAAUAGCGUAUAUUAAAGUUGUUGCAGUUAAAAAGCUCGUAGUUGAAUUUCGGGGUUAGUAGGUUGGUCAUGCCUCUGGUAUGUACUGGUCUCACUGAUUCCUCCUUCCUGACGAACCUUAAUGCCAUUAAUUUGGUGUUUCGGGAAAUUUGGACUGUUACUUUGAAAAAAUUAGAGUGUUUAAAGCAAGCUAACGCUUGAAUACAUUAGCAUGGAAUAAUGAAAUAGGACGUUCGAUCCUAUUUUGUUGGUUUCUAGGAUUGACGUAAUGAUUAAUAGGGAUAGUUGGGGGCAUUAGUAUUCAAUUGUCAGAGGUGAAAUUCUUGGAUUUAUUGAAGACUAACUACUGCGAAAGCAUUUGCCAAGGAUGUUUUCAUUAAUCAAGAACGAAAGUUAGGGGAUCGAGACGAUCAGAUACCGUCGUAGUCUUAACCAUAAACCAUGCCGACUAGGGAUCGGAUGAUGUUAAUUUUUUAAUUGACUCAUUCGGCGCUUAC
rnacentral:rRNA from 1 species